AGACCCGAAACCCGGUGAUCUAGCCAUGGGCAGGUUGAAGGUUGGGUAACACUAACUGGAGGACCGAACCGACUAAUGUUGAAAAAUUAGCGGAUGACCUGUGGCUGGGGGUGAAAGGCCAAUCAAACCGGGAGAUAGCUGGUUCUCCCCGAAAGCUAUUUAGGUAGCGCCUCGUGAAUUCAUCUCCGGGGGUAGAGCACUGUUUCGGCUAGGGGGCCAUCCCGGCUUACCAACCCGAUGCAAACUGCGAAUACCGGAGAAUGUUAUCACGGGAGACACACGGCGGGUGCUAACGUCCGUCGUGAAGAGGGAAACAACCCAGACCGCCAGCUAAGGUCCCAAAGUCAUGGUUAAGUGGGAAACGAUGUGGGAAGGCCCAGACAGCCAGGAUGUUGGCUUAGAAGCAGCCAUCAUUUAAAGAAAGCGUAAUAGCUCACUGGUCGAGUCGGCCUGCGCGGAAGAUGUAACGGGGCUAAACCAUGCACCGAAGCUGCGGCAGCGAACGUAUCACCCAAGACAACUUUACGGAGUUGACGAUUGACGGAGCGAAGCGACGUCAAAGCGUUCAUUAAAGUCGAGUUGGCUUAGGGAUACGUUCGUUGGGUAGGGGAGCGUUCUGUAAGCCUGUGAAGGUGGCCUGUGAGGGUUGCUGGAGGUAUCAGAAGUGCGAAUGCUGACAUAAGUAACGAUAAAGCGGGUGAAAAGCCCGCUCGCCGGAAGACCAAGGGUUCCUGUCCAACGUUAAUCGGGGCAGGGUGAGUCGACCCCUAAGGCGAGGCCGAAAGGCGUAGUCGAUGGGAAACGGGUUAAUAUUCCCGUACUUGGUGUUACUGCGAAGGGGGGACGGAGAAGGCUAUGUUGGCCGGGCGACGGUUGUCCCGGUUUAAGCGUGUAGGUGUGUGUUCCAGGUAAAUCCGGUUCACUUUAACACUGAGGCGUGAUGACGAGGCACUACGGUGCUGAAGCAACAAAUGCCCUGCUUCCAGGAAAAGCCUCUAAGCAUCAGGUAACAUCAAAUCGUACCCCAAACCGACACAGGUGGUCAGGUAGAGAAUACCAAGGCGCUUGAGAGAACUCGGGUGAAGGAACUAGGCAAAAUGGUGCCGUAACUUCGGGAGAAGGCACGCUGACACGUAGGUGAAGUGAUUUACUCAUGGAGCUGAAGUCAGUCGAAGAUACCAGCUGGCUGCAACUGUUUAUUAAAAACACAGCACUGUGCAAACACGAAAGUGGACGUAUACGGUGUGACGCCUGCCCGGUGCCGGAAGGUUAAUUGAUGGGGUCAGCGCAAGCGAAGCUCCUGAUCGAAGCCCCGGUAAACGGCGGCCGUAACUAUAACGGUCCUAAGGUAGCGAAAUUCCUUGUCGGGUAAGUUCCGACCUGCACGAAUGGCGUAAUGAUGGCCAGGCUGUCUCCACCCGAGACUCAGUGAAAUUGAACUCGCUGUGAAGAUGCAGUGUACCCGCGGCAAGACGGAAAGACCCCGUGAACCUUUACUAUAGCUUGACACUGAACAUUGAGCCUUGAUGUGUAGGAUAGGUGGGAGGCUUUGAAGUGUGGACGCCAGUCUGCAUGGAGCCGACCUUGAAAUACCACCCUUUAAUGUUU
rnacentral:rRNA from 1 species